GAGAGCUCAGUGGUUAGAGCCAGUUUACCUAAAACAGGGUUUCUGGUUUAGCGAGGCAAACGAGGUGUGCCUUUGAACAAGGCACUUGUUUUCAGUCUGUUUCCUUCAACAGCAAAUGACAACCAUCCCCUUUCUGCUGUUCAAGAAUGACAGAUGACAGAUCUGGGGAAAGAGAGGUGUGAGACACCUCUGUAAACCGUAAAGUUGUAAGAGCGAGCACUAUACAGUGACCGAAUUCCCCCACAGAGCGUUCUCACUGUAAGUGGAGAGUGACUGUCAAGGAGAACCCAAAGGCAGAAACAAGGGGUUGGAAAGAGACUUGGGGACCAGCCUUCUGUUGGGAGAGGGAUUUGGGGUGCGGCUUCUGGACCCUGGCAAUGUCUCCUGGCUCGAGAGCUGCGUCCAGGUGUUGGGCUGGGAGAGACACCGCUGAGCUGAAGCAACCUGCUGCCCUUGACUCCCUCAGAAGACUGUUUUCUCUUUGAUCCUUUUCUUCUGACUUGGAGCCAUUUCUUUCAGACUUUGCAAGUUAGCUGAAUAGUCGUGGGUCUCUACUGCCCUCGUGUGGUCACUCCCCAGCAUUGCUGCAUGGGCUUCUGAAGGGAUUUGAGGGACAUAAGCCAACCUGACCUAGGAAAGCAAAGCCAACUUUCCAAAUCAGCACUUUCCAGGGCCAGCGGAAGACUUAACCCCCAAAUUAAAGUCAGCAUCUUGAAGCCGGUGCUCCUAGUGGGAGGGAGCAAAGCUACUGAAGUGGGGGAUGCUGACAACAGAGAGGCCACACGCGUGUGAGGGCAGGGACAGAGGAAACUGCCCAACUUCACUGUGAACCGAAGACUGCUUUAAAGCUUUGUUGAUACCUGUCCACCUCACUGCCCUGUCAUUUCUGCUGUCGGAUGCUACAGCCCUGAAGCCACACAAAGCCACUGUGCUCAAGAAAACAAAACGAGAUCUAGACAUAUGCAGGGGGUUUCUGGCUCAGCGGUUAGGAACACUGGCUGCUCUUCUGGAGGCCAGGAGUUCCGCUCCCAGCAGCCACAUCAGGCGACUCCCAGUGGCCUACGGCUCCAGCUCGAGGGGCUGCAACGUCCUCUCCUGGACCUGCAGCACAUACUCACACAGAAGAGGCAGACUUCACGCUUCUUAAAAAGUAACCAUAAAGGGAAAUAUGUUUUAGGGACUGGCUGCAAGGGAAGUGGUUCUCAUCCAGGGCAGACCCCAACAGAGUCCUAUGUGGGAAGUUCAUAAACUGCCUCUAAACAACUACAGUCUGACCAGAGACGUGAACCCAGCCGGAACACGGAGAUGCCUAAAAAACCAGAAACAGUAACCGGGGUCCUGCCAUCCAGGGGUCAAGACUAAAUACACUGGGAAAAUCACUUCAUUCCUUAGAGGGAGGUGGGAGGGGAUGGGAAAGGUGUGACUGUGGGAGGGAAGCCCCCGAAAAGGGUGGGGGGAGGAGUACAGGACAUAAAUAAUACCCUAGAAACCACGUACAAAUUAUGGUUUUCUUUCUUUUUUUUUUUAUUUAGAAAGAAGUAUCAAAUUUAAUAAUUUUCUUCAGUUAAGGACAGUGUGUUUUCAUCUCACAUUGACUCCUUUUUUUUCUUUCAAACUGGUUUUCAGGGCACCUUUAUGUGCACUGCACAGUCUCUCAGCCACCCGCAGCAGGAGGGACGGCAUUUUUAUAUUGUUUCCAGUUUAGGGGGAUCCUACUGUGUGCAACCCUUACUCUCAGGGCCCUUCAGAGGCAGAGGACUAUUGGAGUUGUGAGCAUCAACUCUGCAAAGCCCAGGUUUCCUCACCUCAGACAUGGUUAACAGAGGGACCCUGAUGAGCCCCUCCAUCACUGUGGUGUGUCCCCUCUGCAGGCCGUUCCCAGGCUGAGUGCUUCAGCCACACAAAGCAAGCCUCUGCAUGUGGGAAGGUCGCUCUUCCCUUACAUUACAAGGCCUGUGCUCCCUGCUGGGGCUGAGACACAGAGUGAAGCACUAAUGCUUCAGAGGACAUGCAUAAGGACAGAUGAGCAGAAUCUUGACAACCGUCAUGCUGUGGCAAUGGAGACUUUUAAAGUCCCAUGUACACGCCAUGGCACACAUGUGGAAGUCAAUUCUCCUAUCUGAGGUAGGAAGGCACACUAAUGAUAGGUGGCACCAUUCCUGGACUUGGGUCCUAGACGGUAAGAAGAGAGCAAGGACUGGUGAGACCCUCAGUGUGUAAAUGUAUGGCAGCCCAGCCUGAGGACCCGAGGUCUCCUGACCUUCACUCCCACACCAAGCACAUCUUGUCCCUCCCUGCCACAUACACAACUGAUAAAUGGGUAGUGUAAAACAGGAGAGAGCGAGCUGAGCACGAACAUUCACUGCCCUCCGCUUCCUAAUUGCAGGGGCGAUGCGACCAUACUUCGAACUCCACUGCUUUGACUCCCUUCAGGGUACAUGACACUCCUCAGAAAGCCAACAGCAACCUUUCCUUGUGCUGAUUUCUCAGGAUGUUUUAUCACAGCCGCAGGAACGACGAAGGACUAAGAUGGAGCCCUGGCUUUCUGUGUGGGUUGGGCAACUGGGCAUCUUCCGGGCCCCAAUGCUGGGAUCCCAUGAUUUUACAUGUUACACGAAUGUUACAUGUGUGUAACACUCAUGCACCUGCUACUUCUCCUUUCUCUAAAUAGUCUCACCAUGACCAUAUUUCACUUAAUAUUUUCUCCUCUCUAAUGACAAAUGUAUAAAUGCACGUAUCUAUUAAUAAAAUAAUUUCUGUUGUUUUGUUCCA
rnacentral:sRNA from 1 species